rnacentral:rRNA from 1 species
UACAGGGGGUGCAAACGUUGCUCGGAAUCAUUGGGCGUAAAGCGCACGUAGGCGGUUCGUUAUGUCGGAUGUGAAAGCCCUUGGCUUAACCGAGGAAGUGCAUCCGAAACUGGCAGGCUUGAGUACGAAAGAGGGUCGCGGAAUUCCCGGUGUAGAGGUGAAAUUCGUAGAUAUCGGGAGGAACACCGGUGGCGAAGGCGGCGACCUGGUUCGAUACUGACACUGAGGUGCGAAAGCGUGGGGAGCAAACAGG